AAAGGAAUAGACGGGGACCCGCACAAGCGGUGGAGCAUGUGGUUUAAUUCGAAGCAACGCGAAGAACCUUACCUGAUCUUGACAUCCUCCUGACCAUCUGAUGUAAUGUCGGACUUCCUUCGGGACAGGAGAGACAGGUGGUGCAUGGUUGUCGUCAGCUCGUGUCGUGAGAUGUUGGGUUAAGUCCCGCAACGAGCGCAACCCUUGUCCUUAGUUGCCAGCACUUCGGGUGGGCACUCUAGGGAGACUGCCAGGGAUAACCUGGAGGAAGGUGGGGACGACGUCAAAUCAUCAUGCCCCUUAUGACCAGGGCUACACACGUGCUACAAUGGCGUAAACAAAGAGAAGCGAGCCUGUGAAGGGGAGCCAACCUCAAAAAUAACGUCUCAGUUCGGACUGCAGUCUGCAACUCGACUGCACGAAGCUGGAAUCGCUAGUAAUCGCGAAUCAGAAUGUCGCGGUGAAUACGUUCCCGGGUCUUGUACACACCGCCCGU
rnacentral:rRNA from 1 species